ensembl:lncRNA
CAUCGAAUCCUAUUUCUUUGGAAAUUCCUUGCCACAACAACUCCCUCUUAUCAACAUUCUUGUAGGCGUUUUUAAGCUCUCGCCGUUCAGACAUCAAAGACACCAGCAGCUUCAACUUGCUAUUUGCUUGCUUCAUUUUCAGCUUCUUCUUCUUUGUGUUGAUCUCCAGGUGAACCAAUGAACCAGUGUUUAAUAAAUAAUUUGAACUGUUCUCCGGUCAGUUUUAUAAUGUAAGUUUAUAAAACUGAAAUUAUUCAAUAGUGUUUGGACUGAUCCCUGCUCAGUGCUUGCCUCAGGAUGCCUUGUUAAUAAUCUGACAUGAAAUCCCACCGAAUUACCUGAUAAAAAUAAAAAAAAAGACAUGGCCAGAUGCUGUGGGUUAUUACGUAGGUGAGAGAAAAUUUGGAAAGUUUUGCAUUUAUUAAACCUUAUUCACAAUAAGGAGCCUACAGGUUACAAAACCCAGCUCUUGUACUUGUCAGACAGAUGUUAAAAACUCAACACAUUAAAAAACAAAAACAAAAAAAACAAACAAACAAACAAUUUUUUUUUAAAUGGCUCUUACAAUGAUGUGGACAGGCACACUUCACCCAGGAUUCAAACCCAAGGCAGCAGCAUACCAUUUGAAAACACCAUCGACUCCCCCACACACUUCCUUGUUUGACACAAACAACAUGUGGGUUAUAAUUCGUUAAGGCUUAUCUGAAUCGUUGUCAAGGUUGUUUCAUAGCAACACCUGCAAGUGACCACUAGGUGUCACCGUGGAGACGGGUGUCGGAUUGUUUCGAAGCCUCGAGACAAUAUGGCACAUUUGCUUGUCCUGUUUCAGUGUACCACGAAGCCUCGCUCUGCACACCACUGGUGGACACGGGCGCAGUCGUUUUAUAUCGUCUCUUUUAAAACCUCCAGAUUUUUUCCAGAUGAACUGCAGAAAUUUAGCAGAACGCCAUAUUUUAAUCCACAAACUAAUCAACUUCCCACUGCCGUAGCCUGCUGUACUUCCUGUAUAUCUUGAUUGAUAGAUGCCUCGCCCAAUCAGCGGUCAGUAUUCCAUUCGCUAACUAUAGGCCUACCUACCUUUUCCGUUUUGUCUGUUUUGUUCAUUUGUUUUGAGAUUUGUUAUUUUGUUGGCAGAUUUAUUGAGACUCUGUGGAGUAUUGCCAAGAGGAAAAUGAGAGACACCAGACCCAACAAUACAGACAAGUUGAAGGUCGCUAUCAAAGUAACCUGGGCUUCCAGAACACCUCAGCAGUGCCACAGGCUGAUUCCCUACAUGCCACACCGCACUGAUGCAGUAAUUUUGAUGCAAAAGCAGCCCUGACCAAAUGCACCUGUAAUAAAAAAUGAAGUCAGCUGAUAACCAGGUUAUACCCCUCAAUGGAUCCCAUCAAUGGAGUCCUGACCAUAACCCC